GCGUCCUUAGUUCAGUUGGUAGAACGCAGGUCUCCAAAAUCUGGUGUCGAGGGUUCGAGUCCUUCAGGGCGUG
rnacentral:tRNA from 1 species